rnacentral:rRNA from 1 species
AUUGAACGCUGGCGGAAUGCUUUACACAUGCAAGUCGAACGGCAGCACGGGUGCUUGCACCUGGUGGCGAGUGGCGAACGGGUGAGUAAUGCACCGGAACGUAUCCAAUAAUGGGGGAUAACGCACCGAAAGGUGUGCUAAUACCGCAUACGCCCUGAGGGGGAAAGCGGGGGAUCGUAAGACCUCGCGUUAAUGGAGCGGCCGAUGCCGGAUUAGCUAGUUGGUGAGGUAAAGGCUCACCAAGGCGACGAUCCGUAGCUGGUCUGAGAGGACGACCAGCCACACUGGAACUGAGACACGGUCCAGACUCCUACGGGAGGCAGCAGUGGGGAAUUUUGGACAAUGGGCGCAAGCCUGAUCCAGCCAUUCCGCGUGAAUGAAGAAGGCCU